rnacentral:rRNA from 1 species
AGUGAACGCUGGCGGUAGGCCUAACACAUGCAAGUCGAACGGCAGCACAGUAAGAGCUUGCUCUUCCGGGUGGCGAGUGGCGGACGGGUGAGGAAUAUAUCGGAAUCUUCUUUUUCGUGGGGGUUAAGGUAGGGAAACUUACGCCAAUACCGCAUCCGACCUUCGGGUGAAAGCAGGGGAUCUUCGGACCUUUUGCGAUUGAAUGAGCCGAUGUUGGAUUAGCUAGUUGGCGGGGUAAAGGCCAACCAUGGCGCCGAUCCGUAGCUGGUCGGGGAGGAUGAUCGGCCACACGGGAGGUGAGACACGGUCCAGGCGCCUACGGGAGGCAGCAGAGGGGAAUAUUGGACAAUGGGGGCGAGCCUGAUCCAGCCGUACCGCGUGGGUUAAGAAGGCGUUCGGGUUGUAAAGCCCUUUUGUUGGUAGAAAAAAGCAGCAGGUUAAGACCCCGCUGUUCUGACGGUACCCAAAGAAUAAGCACCGGCUAACUUCGUG